CUGAACCCUCCCUGUAUGCUUGAUCAGCAGGUUGGCUUUGAAACCGUCUCACUAUGUAGCCCUGGCUGACUAAACUCCCUAUGUAAACCAAGCUGACCUUAAACUCACAGAAAUCCACCUGCCUCUGCCUCCUGAGUGCUGGGAUUAAAGGGGGUAAUAUCUAGCCAUGAUCGGCCAGUCUUUUGUCACUGUCUCCUCACACCACCUGGGUCUGGGCAAAACUAUGGAAACUGUUAACUAGUGAUGGCUAAAUGUUCUGCCCAGAGCCACCUUGAACAGCGUUCCCAUUGAGGACACUGGCCGCCUCCGGUCUUGCUCAGCCCAGCUGGCCCUGACAUUCUUGACUCCUGUACACCAACUCCCAGCUUCUGCUCACCAGCUCCCUGAAGGGUGUUUCCAGCAUCCCUCCCCGUGUGGACACCAGGCCUUGCACCAUUCCGUCUGCAAGGUCUUGCCUGAUAGCCCAGGUUGGCUUGAACUCACUAUGAAGUCCAGACUGGCCUCAAAUUUCAAGGCAAUCAUCCUGCUUCAACCUCCCAAGAGCUAGGAUGGCAGGACUUGGAGCCACUAUGCCCGAUUUCUUAGGAAUCUUAAUGGUGUCUCAGAAAAGGCGAAGAAAUACAGCUUUUGUUAAACCCAAGUUAUCUUCUUUCUUUUGUUUUAAAAUGUUGUCUAUCAUAAAGUUAUAAAAGCC
rnacentral:lncRNA from 1 species